AGUGAACGCUGGCGGUAGGCCUAACACAUGCAAGUCGAACGGCAGCACAGUAAGAGCUUGCUCUUACGGGUGGCGAGUGGCGGACGGGUGAGGAAUACAUCGGAAUCUACUUUUUCGUGGGGGAUAACGUAGGGAAACUUACGCUAAUACCGCAUACGACCUACGGGUGAAAGCAGGGGAUCUUCGGACCUUGCGCGAUUGAAUGAGCCGAUGUCGGAUUAGCUAGUUGGCGGGGUAAAGGCCCACCAAGGCGACGAUCCGUAGCUGGUCUGAGAGGAUGAUCAGCCACACUGGAACUGAGACACGGUCCAGACUCCUACGGGAGGCAGCAGUGGGGAAUAUUGGACAAUGGGCGCAAGCCUGAUCCAGCCAUACCGCGUGGGUGAAGAAGGCCUUCGGGUUGUAAAGCCCUUUUGUUGCGAAAGAAAAGCAGCAGGUUAAUACCCCGCUGUUCUGACGGUACCCAAAGAAUAAGCACCGGCUAACUUCGUG
rnacentral:rRNA from 1 species